AAAUUGAAGAGUUUGAUCAUGGCUCAGAUUGAACGCUGGCGGCAGGCCUAACACAUGCAAGUCGAACGGUAACAGGAAGCAGCUUGCUGCUUUGCUGACGAGUGGCGGACGGGUGAGUAAUGUCUGGGAAACUGCCUGAUGGAGGGGGAUAACUACUGGAAACGGUGGCUAAUACCGCAUAACGUCGCAAGACCAAAGAGGGGGACCUUCGGGCCUCUUGCCAUCAGAUGUGCCCAGAUGGGAUUAGCUUGUUGGUGAGGUAACGGCUCACCAAGGCGACGAUCCCUAGCUGGUCUGAGAGGAUGACCAGCCACACUGGAACUGAGACACGGUCCAGACUCCUACGGGAGGCAGCAGUGGGGAAUAUUGCACAAUGGGCGCAAGCCUGAUGCAGCCAUGCCGCGUGUAUGAAGAAGGCCUUCGGGUUGUAAAGUACUUUCAGCGGGGAGGAAGGUGUUGUGGUUAAUAACCGCAGCAAUUGACGUUACCCGCAGAAGAAGCACCGGCUAACUCCGUGCCAGCAGCCGCGGUAAUACGGAGGGUGCAAGCGUUAAUCGGAAUUACUGGGCGUAAAGCGCACGCAGGCGGUCUGUCAAGUCGGAUGUGAAAUCCCCGGGCUCAACCUGGGAACUGCAUUCGAAACUGGCAGGCUUGAGUCUUGUAGAGGGGGGUAGAAUUCCAGGUGUAGCGGUGAAAUGCGUAGAGAUCUGGAGGAAUACCGGUGGCGAAGGCGGCCCCCUGGACAAAGACUGACGCUCAGGUGCGAAAGCGUGGGGAGCAAACAGGAUUAGAUACCCUGGUAGUCCACGCCGUAAACGAUGUCUACUUGGAGGUUGUGCCCUUGAGGCGUGGCUUCCGGAGCUAACGCGUUAAGUAGACCGCCUGGGGAGUACGGCCGCAAGGUUAAAACUCAAAUGAAUUGACGGGGGCCCGCACAAGCGGUGGAGCAUGUGGUUUAAUUCGAUGCAACGCGAAGAACCUUACCUGGUCUUGACAUCCACAGAAGAAUCCAGAGAUGGAUUUGUGCCUUCGGGAACUGUGAGACAGGUGCUGCAUGGCUGUCGUCAGCUCGUGUUGUGAAAUGUUGGGUUAAGUCCCGCAACGAGCGCAACCCUUAUCCUUUGUUGCCAGCGGUUAGGCCGGGAACUCAAAGGAGACUGCCAGUGAUAAACUGGAGGAAGGUGGGGAUGACGUCAAGUCAUCAUGGCCCUUACGACCAGGGCUACACACGUGCUACAAUGGCGCAUACAAAGAGAAGCGACCUCGCGAGAGCAAGCGGACCUCAUAAAGUGCGUCGUAGUCCGGAUUGGAGUCUGCAACUCGACUCCAUGAAGUCGGAAUCGCUAGUAAUCGUGGAUCAGAAUGCCACGGUGAAUACGUUCCCGGGCCUUGUACACACCGCCCGUCACUACCAUGGGAGUGGGUUGCAAAAGAAGUAGGUAGCUUAACCUUCGGGAGGGCGCUUACCACUUUGUGAUUCAUGACUGGGGUGAAGUCGUAACAAGGUAACCGUAGGGGAACCUGCGGUUGGAAUCACCUCCUUA
rnacentral:rRNA from 1 species